AGCGAACGCUGACGGCAGGCUUAACACAUGCAAGUCGAGCGGGCAUCUUCGGAUGUCAGCGGCAGACGGGUGAGUAACACGUGGGAACGUACCCUUCGGUUCGGAACAACUCUGGGAAACUGGAGCUAAUACCGGAUACGCCCUUAUGGGGAAAGGUUUACUGCCGAAGGAUCGGCCCGCGUCUGAUUAGCUAGUUGGUGGGGUAACGGCCUACCAAGGCGACGAUCAGUAGCUGGUCUGAGAGGAUGAUCAGCCACACUGGGACUGAGACACGGCCCAGACUCCUACGGGAGGCAGCAGUGGGGAAUAUUGGACAAUGGGCGCAAGCCUGAUCCAGCCAUGCCGCGUGAGUGAUGAAGGCCUUAGGGUUGUAAAGCUCUUUUGUCCGGGACGAUAAUGACGGUACCGGAAGAAUAAGCCCCGGCUAACUUCGUG
rnacentral:rRNA from 1 species